GUGAACGCUGGCGGCGUGCCUAACACGUGCAAGUCGAACGAUGAUAGGAAGCUUGCUUCCUUGAUUAGUGGCGCACGGGUGAGUAUACCAUAGAUAAUGCACCUCUUAGUUCGGGAUAGCCACUGGAAACGGUGAUUAAUACCGGAUACUCCUUCUCAUUAUAAGAUGAGUCGGGAAAGUUUUUUCGCUAAGAGAUCAGUCUAUGUCCUAUCAGCUAGUUGGUGAGGUAAUGGCUCACCAAGGCUAUGACGGGUAUCUGGUUUGAGAGGAUGAUCCGCCACACUGGUACUGAGACACGGACCAGACUCCUACGGGAGGCAGCAGUGAGGAAUAUUGCACAAUGGGGGGAACCCUGAUGCAGCAACGCCGCGUGGAGGAUGACGCAUUUCGGUGUGUAAACUCCUUUUAUAUGUCAAGAAAAUGACGGUAGCAUAUGAAUAAGCACCGGCUAACUCCGU
rnacentral:rRNA from 1 species